ensembl:lncRNA
GCCCUUUGAUACUAUCCAGGCUCUCCAUAGAAGUGAGAAGACCACGGCCAGUGAAGAGCCAACAUUCUAUGGAAAGCAGGCAACACCCUCUGAUGGUAACCCAAUUCUCCACAGGGAUCAAACAACCCACUUCAGUGACCAUACCUUCUAUGAGGGUCAGCCAAUGAAUCCCAGCACUCAGGGGAGAAGCCCUACAAAUGCUCCAGAUGCACAUGGACGUUCUCUCGCUCAGAUGAGCUUGACGGACAUGUGAGAAAGCACAUUGGGGAUCAGCACUUCAAGUGUCAAAUUUUCCACGUGACCAAUGGACAAUCACAUCAACUAAAGGGGCAGUAAAAAAAAACAAAAAACAAAAAAGCCUCAAUGGCUGUAGUGAUGGCUCAGUGGUUGAGAGCCUGAACUGUUCCUCCAGAGUUCCUGAGUUCACUUCCAAACAACAUCAUUACAUGGCUCACAACAAUCUGUAAUAGAAUUUGAUGCCCUCUUCAGGUGUGUGUGAAGACAGCUACAGUGUGCUUAUAUAAAUACAAUAAAUCAAUGUUUGUUUAAAAUAAGCAAACAAACGGGCAACCUCGGGAGGAAGGAGGUUUGGAAGACUAUCUAGAAUGUACUAGUGACCUGGGAAUUUGGAGACUCUCAGGACUCAAAGGAAGGGGACCCUAGAUGAAAGGGCCUACAGUCCAGAGAGGGAACUUAUUGAAUCCACCUCCAGCAGAGAGAAAGGCCAUCAAGUGAAGGAUGGGGUUGCUAUCCCACAGCCCAUGCUCUGACCCAUAAUUCUUUGUGUCUGAAAGAAAUGCAGGGAUGGAAAUGGAGAAGAGCCUGAGGAAAAGAAGAUCGAGUAACAGGCCCAAAGUGGGAUCCAGUUCAAUGAGAGGCCCCAAGACCUGACCCCAUUUCUGAAACAUUAUGCCAUUAGGUUGUGGUCACAAAAAGGGACCUACCAGGACUGAUCUCCAAAAGACCUAAAGAGAAUCUGAAAGGAUCAGAUGCAGAUAUGUGCCCCCAACCAAGGGACAGAAGCUGCUGACACCUCUGAUUGAAUUAGAGAAAAACUGGAAGAAGCUAAGAGGAGGGCAACCCCGUAGGAGGACCAGCAGUCUCAAUAAAUCUGGACCCUUGAGAUCUCUUAGACACUGGAUCACCAAUUAGUCAGCAUACACCAUCUGAGCUGAGGCCUCCAACCCAUAGACAGCAGAGGACACCCAGUCUGGGAUCAGUCAGAGAAGAUGCACCUAACCCUCAAAGACUGGAGGCCCCAGGAAGUUUAGAGGCCUUGUUGGGUGGGUGGGAUGGCGACAUCCUUUUCAAGACUGCUCGUGGGUAGUUCCAGAGUUGGGGGGAAGUGUGAGAUGUGGAAUAAUCUGGGGGUGAACCGGGAGGGGAAUAAAAUCUGGAAUGUAAAAAUGAAUAAAGCCGUGUCCAUGGAGAGAAGCUGAGGCCCCAUGCUCCAGCCCGAGG